rnacentral:rRNA from 1 species
ACGAACGCUGGCGGCGUGCUUAACACAUGCAAGUCGAACGGAAAGGCCCUGCUUGCAGGGUACUCGAGUGGCGAACGGGUGAGUAACACGUGGGUGAUCUGCCCUGCACUUCGGGAUAAGCCUGGGAAACUGGGUCUAAUACCGGAUAGGGGCCAUUUUUAGUGUGAUGGUUGGAAGGUUUUUUCGGUGUAGGAUGAGCUCGCGGCCUAUCAGCUUGUUGGUGGGGUAAUGGCCUACCAAGGCGGCGACGGGUAGCCGGCCUGAGAGGGUGGACGGCCACAUUGGGACUGAGAUACGGCCCAGACUCCUACGGGAGGCAGCAGUGGGGAAUAUUGCACAAUGGGCGCAAGCCUGAUGCAGCGACGCCGCGUGGGGGAUGACGGCCUUCGGGUUGUAAACUCCUUUCGCUAGGGACGAAGCUUUUUGUGACGGUACCUAGAUAAGAAGCACCGGCUAACUACGUG